CCAUCUGAACUUAUUUGAAUAUAGUUUUUCCUAUUCUGUUCUUAGAAAUUUCAGUCAUUAACAAUCUUUACACUUAGAAAGUGUUUUAAUUUUACUUUGAUGACAGGAAUAGUGUUCUUCUCAAUGAAAUAUAUAAUAGCAGCUUAUAAGUGAUAACUGUUUUCAUUCUGUUUUUAAGAGAAAAUACUUUGGUCUUUUUUACCAUAGUUUAGUGUGUGAUGUCAUAAAAAUGGGCUGUAGCCAUUUAAAUUCUUGUUCAAGUGCAGAAACUAAGAGACUGCAGUUUCUAUUAAGCCAUGUCAACUCCUAUUAGGAGACCUUUAGUGGUUCCAGUUCCAGGGCCUUCUUGAAGAAAUUGUGAUACUUGUGUAAGUAUAUCUAGAGUUUUCUUUCCAGCAUUGGCUAAGUCACAUAGCUGAGAAAUAUGAUACAUGGAGAAGGUUGCUGACUGGAUGAACUUUUCUACAUUGAAUACUUUAAAUCUGGAUUCUAGAAUAAAAUAUAUUGAUGCAUAUUUGAGUUGUCAACUGUUUAUGUCUUGUUCUUUUCAGCUUCAACAUUGCUUUAUGGCAUGUGUGGUCGUUUUUCACUCCAUUGUUGUUGUUUACCCAGUUUAUGGGGGUUAUAAUGUUUAUCACACUCCUUGGAUGAUUUCCGAAGAUCACCCCAUCCUGAGAUCUGCUGCCUUACACAGUGGAGGCUGUUUUCUGAGUGUCGGAUAACUCUGUUAUUAAAUAAGUGCAUAUUGAGAAUACUCACUCCAGAUGCUUAGAGGCAUGUUGAGAAGGACAAAGAUAGUGCCUCCUGUCAGGUCACUUACAUCAGAACUUGCAGGAAACCUGCUUUAUACAGCAGUUGACAGGUGUGGAAAUUGAAGCUCAUGGAAAUGAAAGUUAAUACACUAAAUUUUCAAGGAGUUAAUGAAAACUGACAUUUCUGCUAAAAACAGCAUGUUCUCCCUGUGGGAUUUUAAAGGAAGGUCAAUGGUAACUGUACAAAGAAGAAAUGGACACAGUCUCAUUGUUAGCAGUCUGAAAAUAGUUGCUAGCACCUCCAUGCCCACGCCAAUGUCUCCAGCCUCUUUCAGGCACCUUGCUGUGUCUUGGAACCACUGGGAGCCCUCACAGGAGGCCCUUCGUUCCUGUAUGCAUGUGGUGCCACAAGCUGCUUUGGGCCCGGAGGAAUCCUACACAUCUCAGAACACUUCCUCACCUGACCCUGUCACCCAUCUCUCCCCUUCUCAUGUGCUCAGCCCCUUCUUUGACUCUUGAAUUUUGAGUUUUUACAGAUGUUUGGGAGCUCUUACCCUGACAUGAAUUUACAAUUGUAAUGGAGACUCAGACAACGUUGUAGAUCACAGAGUGAACUAUGCUUUUUAGUGUUAAAUGCAAUAGCUUAAGAUAGAAUGUUUUACUUGUUACAUAAAUGCUGGUUUUCUUUCAGAUUUAAGGAUAUAUACUUUUUUUUUUUAAGAGAUAGGGUCUUCUAUGUUGCCCAGGCUGGCUUUGAACUCCUGGGAUCAAGUGAUCCUCCUGCCUCAGCCUUCAAAGUAGUUGGGACUACAGGCCCACGCCACCGUGCAUGGCUGGACACGUAAAUUUGAAGUGAAUGGUUAAACAUCCAGCUAGCUGAAAGCAUGACAGACCCUAACAGAAAAGCUACAGUGUGUUUUUGCAGCUAUGAAGUGAAUGGUUUCCUGGGGAAAAUUGUGACUUUGUAUAACUAUUUUUGAAACCAGAAUAAAUUAUAUUUCACUU